GAACACAACUGAAACGGACACCCCAAAACCUGAUUUAGAGGGAGAAGCACGCGCAACGGCUGAAUUGGACUGCCGGUGCAGCCGACGAACAGUACCACGUCGCUAUCGGUGUCCCGCACGAAGUCAAAGGUCACAGGCAACAACCGGGUUCGACCGAUGUGGAGCACCAGCGCUCGCCUCUGGCAGCAGACAUUCCCGUAUUACCGGUGCUGGACGUCAGGCUCGGAGAGUUGCUGGUGUGGUAUUACGCACGUAGAAGAAUACUUGGCCAAGCUCGGCGUUUUCGACGACACGGAAAAGUUUCAACGUAUGACAUCAUUUUUGUCCCCCUCUGUGUUGAAUCAGCUGGACGAUAAUCCUUACGUUACCUCCCCCAACGCACG
rnacentral:lncRNA from 1 species